CGGCCUUAUCCUCAUACCGUGAAGAUAAUUCUCAUAUUUUCUUCUCUUUCAUUCUUAUUCUUCUUUCUUAUUCUCUCAUCAUCUUCUUCUUCUGUUCUUCGCCUCUAGCGAUUCUAUGAGAUUUCUGAGGCUGUGAGGUCACGAGAAUUAGACAAGUUAUCAGAGACGGGUGCUGGAGGUGGUGAUUGAUGUUUACUGGUUUCGAGAAAAGAAGGUGUUGAUGCUGUUAUAAUCAGAAAUUAAGGUUUUUAGAUUAAGACUCAAUUUUAUACGAAGUUGUUAAGUAAUUGAGUUUUUAUCGGUUAAAUAAAGAGGGGGUUGUUGUUCGAUUGAACUGGUGAGAUUGUUUUGAAGUUGUAUUGAGGAGUUAGGGUUUCCUAAGAUGAACCAAAGAAGGAUUGGAAGAUGAAAUUGAGGCUUUAGAAGAUUAAUUGGAGAUGUGUCUUGUAAAUUGAGAACAACGAGACCAUUUAGUAUUCAAUUUCCGAUUCACAGUGAAGAAAAGGUGAAUUAAGGUUUCAUGUUCUUCCCCAAUUUAAGAACUAGAGUUUAGGGAAUUGAACUGGCAGGGAGGUGAUGGUGUUGAAGCAAGUGAAUUGAGGUAAUUGUUUCCUGUGUAAAUUUGGUAAAAAUAUUUCUUGUUGUUGUGGUUUUGAUUUUGAUUAUAACAUUGAUAUGGUGAUGAAUGAGGAUUAUUGAGUUAUGUUGAUGUUGUUAGAGAUUGAGCUCAGGUGGUAUGGCUCAACAGAUGUAUAGUGACAUGAGUCAGUGUUGUUGAUCGAUAGUAGUAGUGCUACGGGAGAAGUUUAGGAUGUAGUGAGUGAUAUUAUUGAAGCUUAGAUUUAUGGAGUAUGAGAUACAAGUAAUUAGAAUUGUAACUUGUGCUGAUUUGAUGUAAAGAACCUGGGUUUGCAGUUGGAGUUAUUUUUGUUGUGUUCAAGUACAAGGGAAUGGACAUAUGUUAGAUGGUGUAUGUAAUCGGAACCGUAGGUGGUAUUGUUUUGUUGUGCAGUAUUUGAAUUUAUGGAAUGCAGGUUGUGGUUGUAAUGGAACUGAGUUUGAAUGAGGUUGUGAGAGUUUGUAAUUGAGUUGUCCAACUGCAGUUGCAGGUGAUUGAUCUGUUGGAUGAAUUGUGGUAGAUAUGGUGUUAUGAGUUGUUGGUUCUGAAAUGGAGGUACAAGUGAUUGGUUUGUUCAUGUUGAGCAUGAAGUAAAAGAACUAAUGCAGAUGUAAUGAAACUGGUGGAGAGGGUUGUAACUGUGUUGAACUGAAUUGCAGAUGUAGACUGAGUUUUGUGUGUUUGAGUUAUAGAUGAGGAUGAUAUGCUGAGAUGUAAAACUAGAUGGCGAUGGUGUUUAGUUGGAUAGUGACUGUUGUGAAUAGCUUGGAACUGCAAUUGCAGGAUGAACCAGCGGGUCAUGGAUCUCGAGGUAGGCCUGGCUUGUCAUCAAAAGAGGUGGGAAUACAUUUUACUCUUUUUAAACCAUUGUUGUUCCUUUUAUAAAAUUUUAUGUUUAACAAACUCAUGCAUUGUCCGUUUGUGCAUUCCCUGCAUUGUCAGUUUGCAUUAUGAUUGUUCUGUUGAUUCUUUCAAUCUUUCCAUGAUUUGGAAAGGACUUGUAUGUUUGUUGUCAUCAAGAACUGUUAUGGGAAAUGAGAAUUUCCACACGUGGUAUAUAGGAUGCGUUCCUUCACAUUUGUUCCUAUUAUAAGUUUAUUCGGUGUGGAAUUGGCAUCAAUAUUACUAUUCGGUGUGGAAUGGCAUCAAUAUUAUACAUUGUUUGACGAA